rnacentral:rRNA from 1 species
AUUGAACGCUGGCGGCAGGCCUAACACAUGCAAGUCGAGCGGGGUUUUCGGACCUAGCGGCGGACGGGUGAGUAAUGCGUAGGAAGCUGCCCGAUAGAGGGGGAUACCAGUUGGAAACGACUGUUAAUACCGCAUAAUGUCUACGGACCAAAGUGUGGGACCUUCGGGCCACAUGCUAUCGGAUGCGCCUACGUGGGAUUAGCUAGUUGGUGAGGUAAUGGCUCACCAAGGCGACGAUCUCUUGAGGGUUUGAGAGGAUGAUCAGCAAAACUGGAACUGAGACACGGUCCAGACUCCUACGGGAGGCAGCAGUGGGGAAUAUUGGACAAUGGGCGCAAGCCUGAUCCAGCCAUGCCGCGUGUGUGAAGAAGGCCUUCGGGUUGUAAAGCACUUUCAGCGAGGAGGAAGGGGUUGUAAUUAAUAGCUGCAACCUUUGACGUUACUCGCAGAAGAAGCACCGGCUAACUCUGUGCCAGCCGCCGCAGUAAGAC